AUUUAAGCUUUAUUGUUGUGAAGCAGAAUUCAUCAAGCGUUGGAUUGUUCACUUAAUAAGGAGGUACGUGAGCUGGGAUCAGACUGUCGUGGGACAGGUU
rnacentral:ncRNA from 1 species